GACGAACGCUGGCGGCGUGCUUAACACAUGCAAGUCGAACGAAGUGGCGAACGGGUGAGUAACGCGUAAUCAACCUGCCCUUCCGGGGGAGACAACAGUUGAAAACGACUGCUAAUACCGCAUACUGACGGUGGGGUUUGCGUUUGAUUAGCUAGUUGGAGGGGUAACGGCCCACCAAGGCGAAGCUCAGUAGCCGGUCUGGGAAGAUGAACGGCCACAAUGGGAACGAGACACGGGCCAGAAUCCUACGGGGGGCAGCAAGUGGGAAUCUUCCGCAAUGGGCGGAAGUCUGACGGGGCAACGCCGCGUGGGUGAUGACGGCCUUCGGGUUGGAAAGGUCUGUUAAUCGGGACGCGGUACCGGAAUAGAAAGCCACGGCUAACUACGUGCCAGCAGCCGCGGUAAUAC
rnacentral:rRNA from 1 species